UUUUCCUUUGACUUGACCGGGUCUUUAUUAACCUUUGUUUCUUUACAGUUUUCAGUUUCCCCAUUCCUGUCUCCUCACAACUUCUAAAACAUUAGGGAUUGUUGCAAAAUCAUAAAGCUAAGCUGUAGUCUCCAAUAUCUUGCAAUUCAACAACUCCAAAAAAUCCAAUCUCCAAUUUCAAGUUUUAAGUUAUGGAAUCCAUGAAACAAUAGCCCCCAUUUUGCAGUGGUUGAUGAACAAGCAAGCCCAAAAGAAUAUGAAAUCCAUGCAAAUAGCGGACCUUUCUUUUUUUUUCUACCAUUCGGGCACGAAAGCCGAUUGCGUGGUCUGUGUGGAGAAGGAUGUUUGGAGAAAUGUUUGUGAGAUGGGUAGUGGAUAUGAUGGGGACUAUGGCGGUCAUUAUGCUUAAUAGUAAUUAGGGGGUGCUCUAAAAGUGUAGUUGUAAUUACUGACUUUUUGGAAGGGGUGUUUCUAGGCUAGCAAGUAGGAAUAUCUUUAUUUCGGCUAUGGGGGAUAUGCUCUAAAGGUGUUUGAUAUUUUAUAGCAAAGGGGAUAUGUUAAUAGUUAUAAUCACUGCAAAAUCUUUAUUUUAGGCUAGAAACAUCCUUAUUUUGGCUAUGAAAUCUUCUAUAAUGUGUGAUAUGAUGAUUGGAAUCAAGGAACUUUAAGCUAUUUUUGCAUCUUAGUGAUGUAAUGAAUGAUUGGUUUUAAGGAUAUUUAAAAAAAAAAUCUGGAAUUUAAGUAUUUUGUCGAUGAAUUUAAGAUUUGCGCCAUUGAAAUAUAUGAAAAUAAGAUUUUUUGUGCAACUUUAAAGUGAUCUAGUGUUUGUUGAAUUUUUUCAUAAGGUUGUUCUUUAGCCACCAAAAUAAAAUAAGUAAAUUUAGUUGAUGGUAAAUAUAUUUGACGAGAAUUGACACAUCGGUCGAACCACCGUGUCACCGAUUGAACUAUUGACCCACUGACCUAUUGCGUUGUUCGGAUCGAUGCCCAAGUCGAGUCUGAUAACUAUGAUUGGAAGUAAUUCCUCUUGUACCAAGUCUUAUUUCCCUUAAGGAUGCCUUGGAAGAGUGUGUGAAGGAGUUCAGAGCAUCUAGAAGGUCUGGAAAACUACAUAUACAUCUCAGCUCGGCUGAUUAGCUGCUAGUGAGGGUUCUGGAGGUUGCAAAAGAAUUGUAAUAUGAUAUGUAUAUAUUGUACACUUAUUUGGCC
rnacentral:lncRNA from 1 species